AUGGUUGUCGUCAGCUCGUGUCGUGAGAUGUUGGGUUAAGUCCCGCAACGAGCGCAACCCCUACGUUUACGUUGCUAACGCGUGAAGGCGAGCACUCUAGACGAACUGCCGUUGACAAAACGGAGGAAGGUGGGGAUGACGGUCAAAUCAUCAUGCCCUUAUGUUCUGGGCUACACACGUGCUACAAUGGCCGGUACAGACGGACGCAAAGCCGCGAGGUGGAGCAAAUCCUAAAAAAGCCGGUCUCAGUUCGGAUUGCAGGCUGCAAUUCGCCUGCAUGAAGUCGGAAUCGCUAGUAAUCGCAGGUCAGCAUACUGCGGUGAAUACGUUCCCGGGCCUU
rnacentral:rRNA from 1 species